rnacentral:rRNA from 1 species
AGAGUUUGAUCCUGGCUCAGGACGAACGCUGGCGGCGUGCUUAACACAUGCAAGUCGAGCGGUAAGGCCUUUCGGGGUACACGAGCGGCGAACGGGUGAGUAACACGUGGGUGAUCUGCCCUGCACUCUGGGAUAAGCUUGGGAAACUGGGUCUAAUACCGGAUAUGACCGCAUGCCGCAUGGUGUGUGGUGGAAAGAUUUAUCGGUGCAGGAUGGGCCCGCGGCCUAUCAGCUUGUUGGUGGGGUAGUGGCCUACCAAGGCGACGACGGGUAGCCGACCUGAGAGGGUGACCGGCCACACUGGGACUGAGACACGGCCCAGACUCCUACGGGAGGCAGCAGUGGGGAAUAUUGCACAAUGGGCGGAAGCCUGAUGCAGCGACGCCGCGUGAGGGAUGAAGGCCUUCGGGUUGUAAACCUCUUUCAGCAGGGACGAAGCGUGAGUGACGGUACCUGCAGAAGAAGCGCCGGCUAACUACGUGCCAGCAGCCGCGGUAAUACGUAGGGUGCGAGCGUUGUCCGGAAUUACUGGGCGUAAAGAGUUCGUAGGCGGUUUGUCGCGUCGUUUGUGAAAACCCGGGGCUCAACUUCGGGCUUGCAGGCGAUACGGGCAGACUUGAGUGUUUCAGGGGAGACUGGAAUUCCUGGUGUAGCGGUGAAAUGCGCAGAUAUCAGGAGGAACACCGGUGGCGAAGGCGGGUCUCUGGGAAACAACUGACGCUGAGGAACGAAAGCGUGGGUAGCAAACAGGAUUAGAUACCCUGGUAGUCCACGCCGUAAACGGUGGGCGCUAGGUGUGGGUUCCUUCCACGGGAUCUGUGCCGUAGCUAACGCAUUAAGCGCCCCGCCUGGGGAGUACGGCCGCAAGGCUAAAACUCAAAGGAAUUGACGG